AAUUUCAAUUGUCACCACACCAAAACUGUAAACAUCGCAUUUUUCAUUCACCAUCAUCGUGUAAGCUAGCUCUGCAAAAGCAUCCAAUCACACACUUUAGUUUGCAGGUUUUCAGUAGCAUUGCAACUCAUUGUGUAAAUACAAUGCAAAGUGAUCAUUUUUUUGAUUAAAACCUAUGCAAAAGUUGAUUGCAUUUAUUGUUUAACUGUAUUGAUCGUUUAUUGUAAUAACUGUACUGAUCUUAGUUUGUA